rnacentral:rRNA from 1 species
UACGAAGGGGGCUAGCGUUGCUCGGAAUCACUGGGCGUAAAGAGCGCGUAGGCGGCCGAUCAAGUCAGGGGUGAAAGCCUGUGGCUCAACCACAGAAUUGCCUUUGAUACUGUUCGGCUCGAGACCGGAAGAGGUAAGUGGAACUGCGAGUGUAGAGGUGAAAUUCGUAGAUAUUCGCAAGAACACCAGUGGCGAAGGCGGCUUACUGGUCCGGUUCUGACGCUGAGGCGCGAAAGCGUGGGGAGCAAACAGG